GACGAACGCUGGCGGCGUGCUUAACACAUGCAAGUCGAACGGAAAGGCCCUGCUUUUGUGGGGUGCUCGAGUGGCGAACGGGUGAGUAACACGUGAGUAACCUGCCCUUGACUUUGAGAUAACUUCAGGAAACUGGGGCUAAUACCGGAUAGGAGCUCCUGCUGCAUGGUGGGGGUUGGAAAGUUUCGGCGGUUGGGGAUGGACUCGCGGCUUAUCAGCUUGUUGGCGGGGUAGUGGCUUACCAAGGCUUUGACGGGUAGCCGGCCUGAGAGGGUGACCGGCCACAUUGGGACUGAGAUACGGCCCAGACUCCUACGGGAGGCAGCAGUGGGGAAUAUUGCACAAUGGGCGGAAGCCUGAUGCAGCAACGCCGCGUGCGGGAUGACGGCCUUCGGGUUGUAAACCGCUUUCGCCUGUGACGAAGCGUGAGUGACGGUAAUGGGUAAAGAAGCACCGGCUAACUACGUG
rnacentral:rRNA from 1 species